rnacentral:rRNA from 1 species
CCUACGGGAGGCAGCAGUGGGGAAUAUUGCACAAUGGGGGAAACCCUGAUGCAGCGACGCCGCGUGAGUGAAGAAGUAUUUAGGUAUGUAAAGCUCUAUCAGCAGGGAAGAAAUAGCGACCUUGGGGUCGCCAGACGGUACCUGAUUAAGAAGCCCAGGCUAACUACGUGCCAGCAGCCGCGGUAAUACGUAGGGGGCAAGCGUUAUCCGGAUUUACUGGGUGUAAAGGGAGCGUAGACGGCAGCACAAGUCUGAAGUGAAAUGCCGGGGCUUAACCCCGGAACUGCUUUGGAGACUGUGCAGCUAGAGUGCAGGAGAGGUAAGUGGAAUUCCUAGUGUAGCGGUGAAAUGCGUAGAUAUUAGGAGGAACACCAGUGGCGAAGGCGGCUUACUGGACUGUAACUGACGUUGAGGCUCGAAAGCGUGGGGAGCAAACAGGAUUAGAUACCCGAGUAGUC